AGCGAACGCUGGCGGCAGGCCUAACACAUGCAAGUCGAACGAACCUUUCGGGGUUAUUGGCGGACGGGUGUGUAACACGUGGGAACGUGCCCUUAGGUUCGGAAUACCUCAGGGAAACUUGUGCUAAUACCGAAUGUGCCCUUCGGGGGAAAGAUUAAUCGCCUUUAGAGCGGCCCGCGUCUGAUUAGCUAGUUGGUUGAGGUAAUGGCACACCAACGCGACGAUCAGUAGCUGGUCUGAGAGGAUGAUCCGCCACAUUGGGACUGGGACACGGCCCAAACUCCUACGGGAGGCAGCAGUGGGGAAUCUUGCGAAAUGGGCGAAAGCCUGACGCAGCCAUGCCGGGUGAAUGAUGAAGGUCUUAGGAUUGUAAAAUUCUUUCAACGGUGACGAUAAUGACGGUACCCGGAGAAGAAGCCCCGGCUAACUUCGUG
rnacentral:rRNA from 1 species